UAGGGAAUCUUCCACAAUGGACGAAAGUCUGAUGGAGCAACGCCGCGUGAGCGAAGAAGGUUUUCGGAUCGUAAAGCUCUGUUGCUGGAGAAGAACGAGUGCGAGAGGAAAUGCUCGUACUGUGACGGUAUCCAGCCAGAAAGCCACGGCUAACUACGUGCCAGCAGCCGCGGUAAUACGUAGGUGGCAAGCGUUGUCCGGAAUUAUUGGGCGUAAAGCGCGCGCAGGCGGCUUCUUAAGUCUGAUGUGAAAUCUUGCGGCUCAACCGCAAACGGUCAUUGGAAACUGGGAAGCUUGAGUGCAGAAGAGGAGAGUAGAAUUCCACGUGUAGCGGUGAAAUGCGUAGAUAUGUGGAGGAAUACCAGUGGCGAAGGCGGCUCUCUGGUCUGUAACUGACGCUGAGGCGCGAAAGCGUGGGGAGCAAACAGGAUUAGAUACCCUGGUAGUCCACGCCGUAAACGAUGUCGACUUGGAGGUUGUGCCCUUGAGGCGUGGCUUCCGGAGCUAACGCGUUAAGUCGACCGCCUGGGGAGUACGGCCGCAAGGUUA
rnacentral:rRNA from 1 species